UUUCUUUUGUGUUCAAAUGACCUAUGUUUUCAUAUUCUGGCUUCCAAAUCAAACACAAAGUUCACGAAUAAUACCUUUUAAGUUUUAACAAUAAUUCUGAUUGCUUCAGCCCAUCUGUUAAUCUAUCUUUUCUUUCUCCAAACUCAGCUCCACCCUGUGAAAAAACAGAGCUACUAACAAAUGAAAACCAGUUCACUAGUAUUAUAAAUAAUUGAGGUGUAGUUUUUAUUACUACCCAAACAUCAAGAUCAAAGAAAACCUGGUUCUCCAGUUCACUACUAUGGCUUCUACUUAGUGGACAAUGCACAAUAAUAACAAAUAGGAUUGAUUACCUACAGUUGGUUGCUUAUAAUUUGUGAAAAUGCCCAAUUUAAAGAAUAUCUUGAAAUAGAGGACAUAUUACAAUGAUUAUGAUUAAACAACAUUAGAACUGAAAAUUAUAAGAUAUAAUUACAUCAAAGAAUAAUUAUCUCUUAACUAGCAACAGAAGAAAUUUUUACUCCCUCGAAAGUAGACGAGGAUAAUAAUUUUGCAAUUAAGAGAUAUCAAUUGUUUUAUAGCGUGUGAAACUUCUUCUUUAUAAGAAACCCCAAAAUAUAUCCCUAAUACAUGAAGUGCUGAAACAACACAUACUAAUUUUCUCUACAAAAAACAACACAUAAUCCUAUCACAGAUUCAAGAUAAACACAAAUACAAAAAAAAUAGAACAAAAUCCAAUUUAGGGUUUCUUUUAAUAUGAACAAAAUCCAAUUUAGGGUUUCUUUUAGUAAAAUUUAUAGCAUGUGAAUGAAGGCUGAAAAUUAAAGGGAAAACAAGAGAAUAAUUCGUAAAAGGAGAAACAAGAGAGGGUGAGGGAGAGGGAGAUGAGAAGGGAGAGACACCUUACCUGAACGAAUGAACGAAUUGAUAGAAGGCGUGACGGUGGCGAUUCGACAAAUAAAGGCCGACAUUAGCAGUGGUUGAGGGGAGAGAAAGAAAUCGAAGGUUACUUCAGUCAUCGUUAAUGGCUGUUGGACAUGGGGGUGGAGAGAGAAGUAGGGUUGCAGCGUCGAACAGAGAAAGAAGAAGAAGGAAAUAAAAGAUGGGAAGGAAAA
rnacentral:lncRNA from 1 species